CUGUGAAAAAGGCAAACUUCUCGAAAGGGAAGGACGCAAAGCCGUGAGUCUAAGGCAUACAGACGUAUGCUAUGAUCGUCAGGUUUCCAUA
rnacentral:ncRNA from 2 species